GCAGUGAGGAAUAUUGGUCAAUGGACGCGAGUCUGAACCAGCCAAGUAGCGUGAAGGAUGACUGCCCUAUGGGUUGUAAACUUCUUUUAUAUGGGAAUAAAGUGGUCCACGUGUGGACUUUUGUAUGUACCAUAUGAAUAAGGAUCGGCUAACUCCGUGCCAGCAGCCGCGGUAAUACGGAGGAUCCGAGCGUUAUCCGGAUUUAUUGGGUUUAAAGGGAGCGUAGGCGGAUUGUUAAGUCAGUUGUGAAAGUUUGCGGCUCAACCGUAAAAUUGCAUUUGUUACUGGCAGUCUUGAGUGCAGUAGAGGCAGACAGAAUUCCUAGUCUCGUCGUCAGAUGCGUCAAUAGCGUAUAAGAGACAGAUUCGGUAGUCUAUAGCUCAUGUGUACACUGCGAUCCAAAGUCGUAUACAGCAAAAUGAAACAGAACAGUA
rnacentral:rRNA from 1 species